AUGCACGUCGCCCUGAGUGAAAUUUGGGAAGAUCAUCUUCAAUCAGUGUCAUGGCCAGGAAGAGAAGGAGCCACUUUAUAUGUUAAGUCAGAUUUCCCACAAAAAAAGAAAACCUUGAUGAGACCAUUUGUUGGCACCUGCUGUCGGCCCUUCACACCUCCCCACCUGAACCACCCAUCACCUUCUCCUGUCAUGCACACUGGGGUGAGGCUGUCAUUCUUUGUCAACCCCAUCCCCACCUUGUUUCCCGGGGGUGCUCCUUUUCUGACAUCCUCUUUCACAGGGUGGGGCUCCCUGAGGUUUCUUGGUUCACCUUCUGCAACACAUAUGACAUCUGAGGGGCUCUGUAACACCCCCACACAUGGGUCUCCACUGCUAGCCUUGUUCCUGAGCCAUGCCACUCUGACGGAUGCCCCCUAUAUCCCUUAUUUUCUUUCUGCCUCACUUUUAGGGCUUGAGAAAUUAUAAACUUGUCCCCCAGGCUAUGAUUCCAGUACGGUGCUUUGCUAAACUGCCUUGAGCUUCUUGACCUGAGACCCUUUCAAUUUUAUUCAAUCCAUUAAAACUUCUCUUUCAGGGCUUUUCUAGCAGGAAGACCACUUGUUUCACCCCAGUCCAUAGGUGAAGCCUGGGUAGAGUCUAAAAGAUUUUGUAAGCCAGCCAUUCCUCAUCCUCUCCACUGCUGCCAUCUUAGAAUAAGUUGAUUUCAUGGGUCAUCUGCAUUGUUGUAAUAACCACUUGCCUGGUCUGUUGGCCCCUAUCUUGCUUACCCUCCCCAUGUCCCUCCAGAGUUUAUUCUCAGAGCAGCAGCAAAAGAGGGCUCAGUAAACAUGAAUGAGAGAUACUCAAAUCCUACUGAUGACUCCCUCUUCUUGGGGCUUCUUUCUAGCCCCCAUCACACCCUCAUGCCAUGCUCCCAACUCUCUGACCUCGCCUUCUACUCUCCUACUCCACCCCUUGAUUCCUACUUGCUCUUUCCAACAUUUGAGACAGAUCUCUACUUCACAGGAAUGCUCUUCUCCCAGAAAUCCACACAGGUUUGUUUUGUUUUGUUUUGUUUUUUCCUUUUCUUCAUUUCCUUCAUUUAUUUCCCCUCAAAAAAACCAUCUUUUAUUUUUUAAUUUUUAAUGUUUAUGUGUUUUUGAAAGAGGGAGCGAGAGAGUGAGAGAGAGAGUGCACUCACGAGAGGGAGAGAGACAGAGAGAGAGAGGGAGACACAGAAUUUGAAGUGGGCUCCAGGCUCUGAGCUGUCAGCACAGAACCUGAUGUGGGGCUCAAACUCAGAAACCAUGAGAUCAUGACCUGAGCCAAUGCCGGACACUUAACUGACUGAGCCACCCAGG
rnacentral:lncRNA from 1 species